GGGGUUUUAGCUCAGUUGGGAGAGCACCUGCCUUGCACGCAGGGGGUCAUCGGUUCGAGCCCGAUAAGCUCCACCA
rnacentral:tRNA from 3 species